rnacentral:misc_RNA from 1 species
AAGUCGUAACAAGGUUCCGUUAGGUGAACCUGCGGAAGGAUCAUUAACACGUAUCCAACGUUAAAACAACCCCCGGUGAACUUUCAGCUUGCUCCUGUAGCCCGAAAAACAGCAAUCCCUGGUAAAUCAUUGUUGACCAGCUUUUGAGUCAGGAUUGCAUCAAGUGCCCUGGCAUCCCCAAGUAAUCAGUGUCUGAAAGUGUCAUUGAUUAUGUAAGGAUGGCGCAGUCACGAUCGCCGUAGGCCCACACGGCCGGCGACCGACAACACAGUCCGAAUUGGCCGCGCGUGAAAUUCGCACGGCACCAAACAACUGUUAACAAUGGAUAUCUUGGUUCUC